rnacentral:rRNA from 1 species
UCCUACGGGAGGCAGCAGUAGGGAAUUUUCGUCAAUGGGCGCAAGCCUGAACGAGCAAUGCCGCGUGAACGAGGAAGGUCUUCGGAUCGUAAAGUUCUGUUGAAGGGGAAAAAGAGCGGAGAGAGGAAAUGAACUCCGAUUGAUAUUACCCUUCGGGGAAGUCACGGCUAACUACGUGCCAGCAGCCGCGGUAAUACGUAGGUGGCGAGCGUUAUCCGGAAUGAUUGGGCGUAAAGGGUGCGUAGGCGGCCUGCCAAGUCUGGAGUGAAAGGUACCGGCUCAACCGGUACAGGCUCUGGAAACUG